GGUUAAGCGACUAAGCGUACACGGUGGAUGCCCUGGCAGUCAGAGGCGAUGAAGGACGUGCUAAUCUGCGAAAAGCGUCGGUAAGGUGAUAUGAACCGUUAUAACCGGCGAUGUCCGAAUGGGGAAACCCAGUGCAAUUCGUUGCACUAUCGUUAACUGAAUACAUAGGUUAACGAGGCGAACCGGGGGAACUGAAACAUCUAAGUACCCCGAGGAAAAGAAAUCAACCGAGAUUCCCCCAGUAGCGGCGAGCGAACGGGGAGCAGCCCAGAGUCUGAAUCAGCUUGUGUGUUAGUGGAACGGUCUGGAAAGUCCGACGGUACAGGGUGAUAGUCCCGUACACCAAAAUGCACAGGCUGUGAACUCGAAGAGUAGGGCGGGACACGUGGUAUCCUGUCUGAAUAUGGGGGGACCAUCCUCCAAGGCUAAAUACUCCUGACUGACCGAUAGUGAACCAGUACCGUGAGGGAAAGGCGAAAAAGAACCCCGGCGAGGGGAGUGAAAAAGAACCUGAAACCGUGUACGUACAAGCAGUGGGAGCACCUUCGGGUGUGACUGCGUACCUUUUGUAUAAUGGGUCAGCGACUUAUAUUCUGUAGCAAGGUUAACCGUAUAGGGGAGCCGCAGGGAAACCGAGUCUUAACUGGGCGUUAAGUUGCAGGGUAUAGACCCGAAACCCGGUGAUCUAGCCAUGGGCAGGUUGAAGGUUGGGUAACACUAACUGGAGGACCGAACCGACUAAUGUUGAAAAAUUAGCGGAUGACUUGUGGCUGGGGGUGAAAGGCCAAUCAAACCGGGAGAUAGCUGGUUCUCCCCGAAAGCUAUUUAGGUAGCGCCUCGUGAAUUCAUCUUCGGGGGUAGAGCACUGUUUCGGCUAGGGGGUCAUCCCGACUUACCAACCCGAUGCAAACUACGAAUACCGAAGAAUGUUAUCACGGGAGACACACGGCGGGUGCUAACGUCCGUCGUGAAGAGGGAAACAACCCAGACCGCCAGCUAAGGUCCCAAAGUCAUGGUUAAGUGGGAAACGAUGUGGGAAGGCACAGACAGCCAGGAUGUUGGCUUAGAAGCAGCCAUCAUUUAAAGAAAGCGUAAUAGCUCACUGGUCGAGUCGGCCUGCGCGGAAGAUGUAACGGGGCUAAACCAUGCACCGAAGCUGCGGCAGCGACACUAUGUGUUGUUGGGUAGGGGAGCGUUCUGUAAGCCUGCGAAGGUGUGCUGUGAGGCAUGCUGGAGGUAUCAGAAGUGCGAAUGCUGACAUAAGUAACGAUAAAGCGGGUGAAAAGCCCGCUCGCCGGAAGACCAAGGGUUCCUGUCCAACGUUAAUCGGGGCAGGGUGAGUCGACCCCUAAGGCGAGGCCGAAAGGCGUAGUCGAUGGGAAACAGGUUAAUAUUCCUGUACUUGGUGUUACUGCGAAGGGGGGACGGAGAAGGCUAUGUUAGCCGGGCGACGGUUGUCCCGGUUUAAGCAUGUAGGCUGGUUGUCCAGGCAAAUCCGGAUAAUCAAGGCUGAGGUGUGAUGACGAGGCACUACGGUGCUGAAGUAACAAAUGCCCUGCUUCCAGGAAAAGCCUCUAAGCAUCAGGUAACAUCAAAUCGUACCCCAAACCGACACAGGUGGUCAGGUAGAGAAUACCAAGGCGCUUGAGAGAACUCGGGUGAAGGAACUAGGCAAAAUGGUGCCGUAACUUCGGGAGAAGGCACGCUGGUGUGUAGGUGAAGUCCCUGCGGAUGGAGCUGAGACCAGUCGAAGAUACCAGCUGGCUGCAACUGUUUAUUAAAAACACAGCACUGUGCAAACACGAAAGUGGACGUAUACGGUGUGACGCCUGCCCGGUGCCGGAAGGUUAAUUGAUGGGGUUAUCCGUAAGGAGAAGCUCUUGAUCGAAGCCCCGGUAAACGGCGGCCGUAACUAUAACGGUCCUAAGGUAGCGAAAUUCCUUGUCGGGUAAGUUCCGACCUGCACGAAUGGCGUAAUGAUGGCCAGGCUGUCUCCACCCGAGACUCAGUGAAAUUGAACUCGCUGUGAAGAUGCAGUGUACCCGCGGCAAGACGGAAAGACCCCGUGAACCUUUACUAUAGCUUGACACUGAACAUUGAGCCUUGAUGUGUAGGAUAGGUGGGAGGCUUUGAAGCGUGGACGCCAGUCUGCGUGGAGCCAACCUUGAAAUACCACCCUUUAAUGUUUGAUGUUCUAACGUUGGCCCCUUACCGGGGUUGCGGACAGUGUCUGGUGGGUAGUUUGACUGGGGCGGUCUCCUCCCAAAGCGUAACGGAGGAGCACGAAGGUUAGCUAAUCCUGGUCGGACAUCAGGAGGUUAGUGCAAUGGCAUAAGCUAGCUUGACUGCGAGCGUGACGGCGCGAGCAGGUGCGAAAGCAGGUCAUAGUGAUCCGGUGGUUCUGAAUGGAAGGGCCAUCGCUCAACGGAUAAAAGGUACUCCGGGGAUAACAGGCUGAUACCGCCCAAGAGUUCAUAUCGACGGCGGUGUUUGGCACCUCGAUGUCGGCUCAUCACAUCCUGGGGCUGAAGUAGGUCCCAAGGGUAUGGCUGUUCGCCAUUUAAAGUGGUACGCGAGCUGGGUUUAGAACGUCGUGAGACAGUUCGGUCCCUAUCUGCCGUGGGCGCUGGAGAAUUGAGGGGGGCUGCUCCUAGUACGAGAGGACCGGAGUGGACGCAUCACUGGUGUUCGGGUUGUCAUGCCAAUGGCACUGCCCGGUAGCUAAAUGCGGAAGAGAUAAGUGCUGAAAGCAUCUAAGCACGAAACUUGCCCCGAGAUGAGUUCUCCCUGAGACUUUAAGUCUCCUGAAGGAACGUUGAAGACGACGACGUUGAUAGGCCGGGUGUGUAAGCGCAGCGAUGCGUUGAGCUAACCGGUACUAAUGAACCGUGAGGCUUAACCUU
rfam:Klebsiella pneumoniae ISC21, WGS project CBWQ01000000 data, contig: c10